rnacentral:rRNA from 1 species
CUCCAGACUCCUACGGGAGGCAGCAGUAGGGAAUAUUGCACAAUGGGGGAAACCCUGAUGCAGCGACGCCGCGUGAGCGAUGAAGUAUUUCGGUAUGUAAAGCUCUCUCGGCAGGGAAGAAAAUGACGGUACCUGACUAAGAAGCCCCGGCUAACUACGUGCCAGCAGCCGCGGUAAUACGUAGGGGGCAAGCGUUAUCCGGAAUUACUGGGUGUAAAGGGAGCGUAGACGGUUAAGUAAGUCUGGAGUGAAAGGCCGGGGCCCAACCCCGGGACUGCUCUGGAAACUAUUGAACUUGAGUGCAGGAGAGGUAAGCGGAAUUCCUAGUGUAGCGGUGAAAUGCGUAGAUAUUAGGAGGAACACCAGUGGCGAAGGCGGCUUACUGGACUGUAACUGACGUUGAGGCUCGAAAGCGUAGGGAGCAAACAGGAUUAGAUACCCCGGUAUA